rnacentral:rRNA from 1 species
UACGUAGGGACCAAGCGUUGUCCGGAAUCAUUGGGCGUAAAGAGCGUGUAGGCGGCUUGUUAAGUCUUGCGUGAAAUCUCGGGGCUCAACCCCGAGCGGUCGUGAGAAACUGGCAGGCUAGAGUGCGGGAGAGGAGAGUGGAAUUCCUGGUGUAGCGGUGAAAUGCGCAGAUAUCAGGAAGAACACCCGUGGCGAAGGCGGCUCUCUGGAACGCAACUGACGCUGAGGCGCGAAAGCCAGGGGAGCAAACGGG